GGGGGGGGGGGGGGGGGGGGGGGGGGGGGGGGGGGGGGGGGGGGGGGGGGGGGGGGGGGGGGGGGGGGGGUUUUAUGUUUUCUCGUUUCCUCAUUCUUUCUAUUCCCUUUUUUGUUUCUUUCUGGUUCCCUCAUUCUUUCUAUUCUUUAUUUUUCUUUUUUCUCGUUCCCUCGUUCUUUCUAUUCCUCCUUUUUCUACCUUCUCGUUCCCUCGUUCUUUCUAUUCUUUCAUUUUCCAUUUUCUUGUUCCCUCGUUCUUUCUAUUAUUUUUUUUAAUGUUUUCUCGUUCCAUCGUUCUUUCUUUUCUUUCUUUUUUGUUUUCUUCUUGUUCUCUUGUUCAUUCUCCAAGCCAGAUGAACUUUGUGCCAAGAUGCUGGAUGGUAAUGGAAGAAUAAUGUCUUCAGGGCACUGAAACUUGCCAGAUUUUGCUACAAAUCUAAAGCUAAAUCUCUGACUUUCCAGAUGAACCUGCACCUUUUCCACUGAUGUCUGAUGAACUGUCAUACUCUGUUUGAAAGACAGCAAAGCAGGUUUUCC
rnacentral:lncRNA from 12 species